rnacentral:rRNA from 1 species
ACUCCUACGGGAGGCAGCAGUGGGGAAUCUUGGACAAUGGGCGCAAGCCUGAUCCAGCCAUGCCGCGUGAGUGAUGAAGGCCUUAGGGGUCGUAAAGCUCUUUCGCCAGAGAUGAUAAUGACAGUAUCUGGUAAAGAAACCCCGGCUAACUCCGUGCCAGCAGCCGCGGUAAUACGGAGGGGUUAGCGUUGUUCGGAAUUACUGGGCGUAAAGCGCACGUAGGCGGAUUAGUUAGUCAGAGGUGAAAUCCCGGGGCUCAACCCCGGAACCUGCCUUUGAUACUGCUAGUCUUGAGUUCGAGAGAGGUGAGUGGAAUUCCGAGUGUAGAGGUGAAAUUCGUAGAUAUUCGGAGGAACACCAGUGGCGAAGGCGGCUCACUGGCUCGAUACUGACGCUGAGGUGCGAAAGUGUGGGGAGCAAACAGGAUUAGAUACCCUGGUAGCGAC